rnacentral:rRNA from 1 species
CGUAGGUGGCAAGCGUUGUCCGGAUUUAUUGGGUUUAAAGGGUGCGUAGGCGGCCCCGUAAGUCAGUGGUGAAAUACGGCAGCUCAACUGUCGAGGUGCCAUUGAUACUGCGGGGCUUGAGUGUUGAUGAGGUAGGCGGAAUUGACGGUGUAGCGGUGAAAUGCUUAGAUAUCGUCAAGAACACCGAUAGCGAAGGCAGCUUACCAAGCAAUAACUGACGCUGAGGCACGAAAGUGCGGGGAUCAAACAGGAUUAGAUACCCUGGUAGUCCGCACAGUAAACGAUGAUUACUCGAUGUUGGCGAUACACAGCCAGCGUCUUAGCGAAAGCGAUAAGUAAUCCACCUGGGGAGUACGCCCGCAAGGGUG